rnacentral:rRNA from 1 species
AUACGGAGGAUCCGAGCGUUAUCCGGAUUUAUCGGGUUUAAAGGGAGCGUAGGCGGACGCUUAAGUCAGUUGUGAAAGUUUGCGGCUCAACCGUAAAAUUGCAGUUGAUACUGGGUGUCUUGAGUACAGUAGAGGCAGGCGGAAUUCGUGGUGUAGCGGGGAAAUGCUUAGAUAUCACGAAGAACUCCGAUUGCGAAGGCAGCCUGCUGGACUGUAACUGACGCUGAUGCUCGAAAGUGUGGGUAUCAAACAGGAUUAGAUACCCUGGUAGUCCACACAGUAAACGAUGAAUACUCGCUGUUUGCGAUAUACAGUAAGCGGCCAAGCGAAAGCGUUAAGUAUUCCACCUGGGGAGUACGCCGGCAACGGUGAAACUCAAAUGAAUUGACGGGG